UUGGGCGUAAAGGGUCCGCAGGUGGCGAAUAAAGUCUGCUGUUAAAGACCGGGGCUAAACUCCGGAAAGGCAGUGGAAACUGAUUAGCUAGAGUACGGUAGGGGUAGAGGGAAUUCCCAGUGUAGCGGUGAAAUGCGUAGAUAUUGGGAAGAACACCGGUGGCGAAAGCGCUCUACUAGACCGAAACUGACACUGAGGGACGAAAGCUAGGGUAGCGAAAGGGAUUAGAUACCCCUGUAGUCUUAGCGGUAAACGAUGGAUACUAGGUGUAGCUUGUAUCGACCCGAGCUGUGCCGAAGCUAACGCGAUAAGUAUCCCGCCUGGGGAGUACGCACGCAAGUGUGAAACUCAAAGGAAUUGACGGGGGCCCGCACAAGCGGUGGAGUAUAUGGUUUAAUUCGAUGCAACGCGAAGAACCUUACCAGGGCUUGACAUGUCGCGAAUCUAGCGGAAACGUUAGAGUGCCUUAGGGAAUGCGAACACAGGUGGUGCAUGGCUGUCGUCGGCUCGUGUCGUGAGAUGUUGGGUUAAGUCCCGCAACGAGCGCAACCCUCGUCCUUAGUUGCCAAUAUUAAGUUAGGCACUCUAGGGAGACUGCCGGGGACAACUCGGAGGAAGGUGGGGAUGACGUCAGGUCAGCAUGCCCCUUACGUCCUGGGCGACACACGUACUACAAUGGUUGGGACAAAGGGCAGCAAACUCGCGAGAGUAAGCGAAUCUCAUCAAACCCAGCCACAGUUCAGAUUGCAGGCUGCAACUCGCCUGCAUGAAGUAGGAAUCGCUAGUAAUCGCAGGUCAGCAUACUGCGGUGAAUUCGUUCCCGGGCCUUGUACACACCGCCCGUCACACCAUGGAAGCUGGCUACGCCCGAAGUCGUUACCCUAACCCGGUUUUGGGAGGGGGAUGCCGAAGGUAGAGCUAGUGACUGGGGUGAAGUCGUAACAAGGUAGCCGUACCGGAAGGUGUGGCUGGAACACCUCCUUUACAGGGAGACCUAGUCUAAUUACCAAUAGAUAAAAAAGUUGGUAAUUCGCAAGAAUCCUUAGGUCGUGAGGGGAGCAAGAAAAAACUUUCAAACUGUAAUGGGUGAGGGUCAAUGGGCUAUUAGCUUAGGUGGUUAGAGCGCACCCCUGAUAAGGGUGAGGUCCCUGGUUCAAGUCCAGGAUGGCCCACCUAAAAUACACAGGCAUCCUGCCUGUGCCACAAAAAAAGGAAAAAGUUUUGGCAUUGUCUCUUGUAAUCAAGAGCAAGAGAUAAUGCUGGAAUAGAUUCCA
rnacentral:misc_RNA from 1 species